rnacentral:rRNA from 1 species
UGGGGAAUUUUGGACAAUGGGGGCAACCCUGAUCCAGCAAUGCCGCGUGUGUGAAGAAGGCCUUCGGGUUGUAAAGCACUUUUGUCCGGAAAGAAAACGCCGUGGUUAAUACCCGUGGCGGAUGACGGUACCGGAAGAAUAAGCACCGGCUAACUACGUGCCAGCAGCCGCGGUAAUACGUAGGGUGCAAGCGUUAAUCGGAAUUACUGGGCGUAAAGCGUGCGCAGGCGGUCCGCUAAGACAGAUGUGAAAUCCCCGGGCUUAACCUGGGAACUGCAUUUGUGACUGGCGGGCUAGAGUAUGGCAGAGGGGGGUAGAAUUCCACGUGUAGCAGUGAAAUGCGUAGAGAUGUGGAGGAAUACCGAUGGCGAAGGCAGCCCCCUGGGCCAAUACUGACGCUCAUGCACGAAAGCGUGAGGAGC